CAUCUCAGAAAAAAAAAAAAGAAAGAAAAGGAAAACCAUUCCCUAUUCACUUCUUUAUUCACCCAUCUAUCAAACAUCGGUGCUUGCCUUGUGCCAGGCGUUAUGCUAAGUACUAAAAAUAUCAAAUCUGUAGAAUCAAAUAAUACAUAGUCCUCAAGGAGACUCAGAAAAAAUAGACUUGGGAACAAAUAUAGUUUCAGGUGGUGAAUGCAAUAAUAGAAAUAAAGUAUACUAGGUCUUGGGGUGGCACCUUUUGCUUGGUGGAAAAGGACAGCAAGAGGGGACUUAGCAAGAUCUAUGAGCCAGGGAGAAUGGUGGUGUGUGGGAAUCUGGGAGGCUGGGCUAGGGAGAAUCAGAAAGGAUUAAUAGAUAAGAGAUGAUGUCAAAGGAGCAGAAUGAGUGAGGUUGAGAAACAGGGAGCACAGGAUGUCAGGAACAAAAAGAGGAAUUUCAGAAUUCAGGAAUUUAGUGGAGGAGUAGGGCUGAGUGAUGAUGAAUUUGUAGUUGGUAGGCAGUGGAGGUGGAGUUGUUAGAACAGAUGAGGCCAGGGAACUGCAAGGGAACGUGUUAGAAACAUUGUCAAAAUGGGUGUGGAGGUCCCAAGAUAGAGGAAAAGAGUUCAUUUGUAUCUUUUCCUCAAUUUCUCAUGUAUCUAAACUUGAGAAAAGGAAGUUGCUUCAGGUUUGUCCUCAUAACUACAAUAUUAUAUGUGCUAGGAAAAAAAUGUGUAACUAUGAAAUAAAUGGUUAUCUGAAGACAAAUGUCUUAUUUUCCUCCCUUUCAAAGAGGUAAUACCGUUUGUACACAAUUACAAUCAAUCAAUUGUACACAAUUACAAUCCAACGUGCAUGAGCCAGUUCCAAUGUUGAAAUAUCAAAAGCCUUUUAUAGUCCUGAGAAUAAUUAUAUUGCACAGCAUGAUUAUAAGCAGCGAAUUUAAUUUUUAAUAAGUCUGAAUAUAAUUGAUUAAAACAGUGCCAGACAAUGUUGCAGUAAAGCUCAAUGAGGGUUGCUUUGGACACUGCUACAAAAUGAUCUAGAUCACUCCCAUGCCCUUUUCUGGAAUAAUGCAUCCAGUUCCAGUCCCGGCACCCUGUCAGGUAUGUGGUGAUCAACAGUGCCAUGUCCUUCACUCUGAAAGUGCAGUUUGUUCUACUCCCAAACAAAAGAGCCUGACAUUUCUCAGUUAUUUAAUGAGCUGGUACACCACUAGCUUUCCUUAAAGAAAGCUUUCCUGAGCAGAGCACAGCGUUUCAGUGUACAGUGUCAGCAGAUGCUGACUGCAAGUAUAUGGGGAUUCUCACCAGGACUUUUGGGGAAUAUUAGCAAGUCUUCAUUGGCUUAGAGUCUGUGCUUGAAGCCAGAAAACUCGUGUUUCAAAAGCCAGAGGGUUUUUUGAAAAGAUGGACAUUUACUAGUUGUGUGGCCUCGGCAAGGUAUUUGUUAGCAUCUCUAUAUCUAAGUUCUUCAUCUGUAAAACAGGGAUCCUACUGGCACCUACUACUGAGCAUUAAAGGAGAUAGUAGAUGUGUGGCACUUGAAACAGUGUUUGGCAUUUAGUAAGUACUCAAUAAAUGUUAGUUUUCAUGAUUGUAAUCACAUUAUCCUCAUCAGCCUGGAAACUUUUUCAAAAACUAUCUGUAUGUAAACUACUUUCCAUCCAAAUCACCAACCUAAUGUUUAUUAAGACUGUACUACUUUACCAUUGAAUAAGGAAUGUGGAUGUGUAAUUACUACAUUUAUCCUCAGCAAUAGUCAUUGCUUUGGAAUUGGCAAAACAUUCUUUUUGCACAUCAUCCCUUCCAAUUUACGUUUUGCAAAACUAGAGGAAAACUUUGUUUAAUGUAAAUAUUUCUUGAAAUACCAAUUCUAUACAUUGAACAAAUUGUCUUUAUUUAAACGAAGUUGGAUUCCGCUAUUGCAGUUCUCAUGUUUUGUUAAUUUUAUUAAAAUGUAAAUUUGCCCCUGUCAGUCCUAGUUUAGCAUUUGCAGUUUAUUAACAGAGAAGGAAAUAGUUAACAUGAGGUUUAGGGAAAAGAAUGUAGAAUUCCUUACUGAAAGACUAUUUCCUACAGUUGACCAAUAUUUUCCUCAUAAAGAGCAGCAGAACCUCCUGGCAAGUCUUGGGAGGAGAGAGGACUCACCUGAUUGUGAUAAAAACCAGGCACGCCUAGUUUACAAGCCUCCAGGUUGAGAGGUUCUUUAAGAUUGUUCAUAACACAGCACUGACGAGGCCAGGGAUAGUCAGCAUCAUUAUUCUCAGUCCGGAAGGCAGACGUGUAUUUUUGCCAGUCUGAUGGACCAUUUACGCCACAGCAGUUAUCCUGUCAGCAGAUGAGAGAUACAAAAUUCUCUUUCGUGGUCCCUACUAGAGCCAUCGAUGUAGCAACUGAAAUUUUAUAGAGAAAGAAGAUACGGAAAGUGUACCGUAUCUUACAUUUACUAAGAAGUCCCCAAAUGACAGCUGAAGGUAUUGAUAACUUACAACUGACAUUUUACAGUUUGUAAAAUAAUUUUUACACUAUUACUUUACUAGUCAUUAGUGAGCCCUGUAGCCACUGACAUGUUACUUAAACUCUCUAAGCCUCAGUUUCCUUAACUGUAAAAUUGGAAUAUAGUACCUAUCUCAUAGAGUUUUUUUAAGGAUUAAAUGAGUUAAUUUACUUAAUGUGCUCAAUACAGUGCCUGGCUUAUGCUAAACUCUUGAUAAAUGUUAAUUAUGAUUGAUACUGUACUGAUAUCUUGAUAUAACAAUGUGAGAGAGGAAUAAUUAUUGUGAUAUAUGAGCAAAUUGAGAAUCGUAAAAUUAAAAAUUUUAGUGAUGAAGUUAUGAGUAAUUGUUCUUGUUUUGCUUUUCUGUACAUUUAAACAUUUUUUAAGAGUAAUUAGGUAUUAUUUUUAUAAUGGGAGAAAAUAAAGUGAAAAAAAUAACCUGGUGACACACAGCUGUCUCCACGUAGGGAAGGGAGAUCAGUUAAUGCAUCCCUUACACUCUGGAUAGAAUUGAGAAUACAGGACAAAACACAAUUCAUAUAGCUUUCCUUCUUUAUUAUCAAUUCUGCUACAAUCCUUCAAAAGGGAGGAAGUUAAAACUAUGGGUAUCUUGGAACUAUUAGAAUGAAUAUAUUCAAGUAAGCUUGAUGAUAAAUCAACCAUCUUUAAAGGAUGUACAAUUUUGUCACUAUAUUAUGGGAAAUAUCUAAGAAAAAGAAUUGCUCUGCAUUCUGGGAAAAAAUGGUUAAGUCUAAGCCAGGCUUAUUUCAAACUAGGAUUUAAGUGGGGACAGAGAAAAGUUAAGCAUCCAGAAUUGAGCUCUGCAGUGCUUCAAGCUUCAGAUUUGGGUAAAGAGUGACAGCCCAGCAGAGGAGACUAAGCGGGAGUAGCCAGUGAGACAAAUUCUGAUAAGAUGUCAAAGAAGAUGAGGAUAGAAACUUGGCCAUUGGAUUUGGCAGGAUGGAGGUAAUUGGUAAUGAAGACCAGGGUUGUUUUUGUUGAGUGGUGGGGCCAGAGGCCAAUUGUAGUUGGAUGAAAGAAGAUGAGGGGGAUGAAAAUGGGGACCACAAGUGUAGGCGUCUCUUCUGAGAUUUGCUGUGGAAUAAAACAAAAGAGUAGUAGAACAGAAGAGUGGGUGAAUGUUGGACAAGGGAGACUUUUUAUAAGAUGGACAAUUUAAGGUGUCCAUGUAGGCUGAAGAAAGGGAGAAACUGAUGAGGCAGAUCAGAGCAGGGAAGACUGUCGGGGCAAAGGAGAUGGAAUGCAGAACAGAAGCAAAAGAGCUGGACAAAGGACAGCCCGUGUGUCAUAACAAGAGAGAAGGCAAAAUGCACAGGUGUAGAUCAAUGUAGAUUUGGCGGUAGAAAGAUGAGCUGGUUCUUGUCUAAUUGCUUCUAUAUUCUUAAAAACAUAUGAGGUCAGGUCAUCAGCUGAGAGGGAGGGUGAGGAGCAAUGUGGCAGGCAUGAAGGAAGAACAUGUGAAAUAGUGACAAGUGAAUUUCCUGGGAAAAUAUACUAGGAAAUAUUAUCUGCCCAUCUGAGCUCUGUGGUCACAAGUUUAAAUUGAAAUUAUCACAGUUGUGUGACUUUUCUCAGCAAUGUUUAGCUCUUAGAGUAUAAAUGAAGAGUGAGCAAAAAGCUGUAUUCUACUCAGUGGGCUUGGUUAGGAAAGAGUGACCAACAGAGAAGGGUAGGGAAGGAAUGGCUAUGGGGCUGGACUUGAAUAUGGGUUAGGCAGAGGGCAAAGAGAAAACAUGAAAGGGGUGAUAGAAAGUUAAAAAGUGGUCAAUUAAUUGGAGGUCCUAAUGGGGUAAAAUUAUUAGAAUUGAGAUAUUAGAAUAAAUGAAAUAAAUAACAGAAAUUAGUGGUCAGAGAGUAGAAUGUUCUUAGUGGCACAGUUAUUGGUGAUGGCAUGCUGGCUAUGGUCAUGGAAGAGGGUGGAGGUAGGGUGGAAAGCAAAAUCUUUGGAACGGGGUAGGACAAGGAAUUGUGAGACCAGAUGUUGCGGAGUCAUCUGUGUGGCUGCUGAAGUUUCUAGGUGGGAUGUCAGGAGUAUGACUGAAGAGGUAGACAGUGAGUGAGAUAUUGAAAUCCCUAAUGAAGGCAGGAGAACAACUGGGGGUAGGGAGGCUGGUAAGUAAUGACAAGGAGGGAUAAAGGGUGAUGUAGAUCGAGGAGGCAAAUAGUAUGGCAGCCAAGGGGAGCAAGAAGGAGCCUAGCCAAUUUCCAGGUCCUAUGGUACCUGGAUAUGGGAGGAAAAUGAAGGGCAGGCAGUACUCCCAGGAGACAGCCAAAUUUCCAAUGAAGCAAGAAAAAGAUACUAAAGAGUUCAUAGAAGGAGUGAUGGCUAUAAGGGAGUUUGCUGAUGACAGACUGUAAAAAGUUGGUGAUGGGGUGUGGAGUAGGGGCAGGGGCCAGUGAGGAAGCUGGGUCAGAUUGGUAGUUAUGUAGAGGAUAACAAUUUGUGUGCAGAGGGCAAUGUGGGGGUGAUGAUGGAUAUUCUGGAAGACUUGGACUUUUGAUGGCAUUGGAGAUAAACAUGGACAUAAACUAUGAUUGCCAGUUGGAGAAAACUGGGUGAUCAAAUCAAGACAUAGUGCCUGGUCCUUGGCAAGACUGGCUCACAGGGCUUGUGAAGAGGUACCAAAAAGGCGAAACGGGCAGUAAUUACCACUCGAGUUCACUGUGGGGCAGAGAAAAUAUUUUUCUUUUAAUGUAAAUGAUACCUGAGUUCUAAGAGGGAGAGUAUGUGAUUAAUCUAAAUUUCUUUACAAAAUCAUUCCAACGAAUGUAAGCUAAUCAUCGGCUUGGAAUAACAUAUAGGGUCCCACUGAGUCAUGUGUACGACACCCACUCCCACCAGUAAAUAAAAAUGGCAUCUCCCCAAGACCCCAGGUCUUACCUGGAGCAUGAGCCUGUCCCAGGUUUUGGUGACUCCGUUGUUUUUCCACUGGUCAUCAUUGUUUGGAGGGCUGUUGUUUUGGUACCUCUCUAGCAUCUGCUUCAGGAAGAGGUUGGGUGUGAACUAUAAUAAGAAGAGGCAACACAAGAGGGAGAGUUAGCACACUGAUUUUCAAGGAGAGGCAAAUAGUUUUCUCUGUCAGUUCCUGGGGACCUGAGCAUUCUCUCCUGGAGCAAAACGGUACUCAGAGACACCGAGUACAGCUGGCUGAGGUUGGCAUAAGUCGCCACGCAGAGAAGAGACUCUCGUGUUAAAAGAAAUCACUAUGAGGCCAGAGGAACACAUACUGUAGCAUGGCUUAGGCUAGGGCAACAGAGAAUGUGAGAGAAGGAAAUACAUAGAAUUGAGAGCAAGUCUUAGCUGAGGUAGAAUAGAGAUCCUCCCACUGGAAGGCCCAUGGCCGUGGCAGAGUGGUGAAACCCACAGGGAAUUACAAACUUGGGCCCUGGGAGUCAGGCUGUUUGAGUUCAGAAUUCUUGCUCUUUCAGUUGCCAACUAUGUCACUUUAGACAAGUCACUUUACCUUUCUGUCUCAUUUUUUUCUUUUCUAAAAUGACAAGAGUGAUAAUGCCUAUUUCAUAGAUUUAUAAGGAUUAAGUGAAGUGAUGUAUGUAUUAUUACCAUGCGUACUGGAUUGCCUGGGCAUACAGUAAGGGGUUAAUACAUGUUGGUUGUUAUAAUAAUGAUAAUUAAUAUUAUCAUUUUGCUUUUUGAGGUUGUACUCACAAAGUCUCGUUGUGUUGCUGCUGUGAUACAAGAUGCCACUUCAAAGGCAUAUACUAUAAACAUCAGAAUGAAAUACUGGAAGGGAAACAAAUGAGAUAAAAUAAUUACAUUUACCUGUCAAAGAGCGACUUGCCCAAAUAAUUAUGAUUUUUCAGCAAAUUCAUCAUAUAAUCAUGUAAUCAUUCAUGUAGUUAUUUAACAAACCCUCAUUGAUCAGUGGCUUGGAUUGGGGCUUGGUGCUAGUCAGCUCAAUUCUCUCCCUUUCUCCAGAGAACAAAUAGCCAUUGAAUAGAGAGCUUCCUCAGUCCAGUUUUCUGAGUUUUUAUUUUAACUGGGAAAAACAAGUACAAGAGAAUGAACUGGUGUGUGUGUGUGUGUGCAUUUACAUGCAUGUGCAUGCUCAGUGCCUACCAAAAGAUCUUAGUGUAUCACAUACAAUAUAGGGCCUCAUAAAUCCACUUUAAUUUUGGAAUUUUGGAGAAAUUUUCUUUACAAUUUGCUGAGAAUUUAGAAUCACAGAGUUCAGAAAAAGAUGAACUGGAUUAUGUUGAAUAUCUAGGGUCCUUCCUAACAAGCAUCCAGCCUCAUCAGAGGAGAGGCAGCCUCCAAGUGCACAGCGAUUUGCCGGGCGUUCUUUCACAUGCACCUGCAUUCAAAGUACAUCGGCUCAGUUGUACCUGGGUGUAUGCAGACACCAGCUGUAGAGGCACAAUAUGGAAAAUACUCAUCAGGCCACCCCCAGGUGUCUCCCCUUUGGCUUCUCUGUACUGGAGUCUUCUGGACUUGCAAUAGUGGAGGGCAUUUUUGCCUCCACGUGGACAAUUUCACUGCAGGGAAAGUGUUCCCCUCCUCACCCCUCAUCUGGUACUUGCUGCUCCCCCACUGAAAGCCAAAUCUUUGCUCAGUAAAGAAGAAAGAAUCCAUUAAAAUUGGCUCAGGGAGACAACUCCAGAGAAAUCUGAGGUCUUACCGCCAGAAGAAUUUUCCUGCUGGACUUCAUGAUGCCUACGAUGCCAAGAACGGACAGGCAGAAGAGGCAGAUGCCCACAAAUAUGCCGAUCCAGGCAGCCCCAUAGAUGUCAUCAUUGUCAGUGGCUUCAAGCAGUGGGUAGAGGCUGUGUUGGUCAGAUACAAAGAAAAUGCACUCCGCGGUCAGGGCAAUGCCGCAACACUGGGGGCAAAUGAAGGGUAGGCUCCAUCAGAAGUGCAGCUUUGGGAAAGGGGGUGGAGGGCGGCGAAGGUAAGAGACUGGCUCCCUUUCCUGCACAGACUUUAUGCAACUAAUCUAAACUCCCCAUUGCCACAAAAUCAAACAACUACUUCCAUCCUACCAACUGGUUGCAUACACCCCUUCACACGUUAUUCUGUCUAUUUAGAAACAGACCCACACAAUUUCAGACCAUCCACAAUGUCCUUGGGGCAUAAAUCACUCAAACAAUGCCUUCUGGUAUGAGAAUGAUCUCCCCCUGCCCCCAUGUCAUGACCCACACUUCUGGGUUGUAAUAUUUGAGCUGGUCCUGGUCAUAUUUAUCAAUGACAGCUGGGAGGAACCUUGCUGCUUAUCUUUGCCAACACCCACAUUUUAUAGAUGAGGAAUCUCGGCCUUGAAAGGUGAUGGCCAGAGUCAUAUGGGGAGUCAGGGGGAGAGCCGGGCCAAGAGCUCUGGACUCCAAAACAAAUGUUCUCCUAUGCCAUCAGACCCACACAGUGUGACCUCUGUAUUAUUUUUACACCCUGGUACUGGCCUCUGUGUAAGAACAAGAAGAUGCAAACAUCUGUCCCAAAACACCUUAACAGCAGAGUCCCACGGAAAUCGAACCAAGGUGACAUAGAAAAGAAACACUGAAGUGUGUUUGUAGUCAGAGUGUUUAGACACUGACUAUGGUUGACAUGACUCCUUUUAGAUACUUAUAAUUUAAAGUUGGGAGGGAAAUAUCUAUUUUUUCAACCAUGAUCUUUUGACAUAUGGUUAAAUUCUAGCUAGCAUAUUUACUAACAUAUUUCUUAAAAUGAAGCAAAAAUAUAGGAAGCCAGUAAUUACAGCAUUAUUUUCCUUGAAACUCUUACUUUUGAUUAAUGUAGAGUUAUGAUUACAGGAAGAGCAGAAUUUCCUGAGAAAUAAGCAUUACUUACACCAAUAAUCACAUUUCCAAAAAUCAGCAGGCCCUGGAAGCAACGAACAGUGGAGUCGUCUUUGGCCAUCUUCAGGAUUUCCCACAAGCUGAAGGCACAGUUGAAAGCAUUACCAAAUAACUGCUACAGUUUCUGUAACAUGAGUAAACCAUGCCAUUGCAUAUUGCCUCCUUGUUCCCAAAUGAACCAAACCAAAGCCAUAUAAUCCUUGAGCAAUGAAGGACAUUUGAUUAUUGAGCUUAGUAAUCACAUAACUUUUAUAGAGAAGGAAAAGAAUAUAGCCUUCCAGAGCCUGGUUAGUGCCUUUCAGGAGUUCUUUCAGGCAAGGAGUGUGCAGAAUGCAUCCUUCUGAGUGGUAGACUGAGCCCCGCAAGGUGGAAAGCACAAGGGGUGGACCUGAGGUGGUGAUUGGGCAGGGCCAAAGCACACUGAGGGUCACUGGCAUAGCCCUCACUGCCCUUGGCCAUGACAAGUGGAAACCUGAAGGGUAAACUCAUGGCUACAGUUAGUGGUUGGUUCCCAUGUGGACUGUAGGUUGCUUUUAAAAACUAUCAUUUUCUGAAUAUUUUAUUAUCUUCAAAGAAAUAGUUGGCAAAUAGAAAAGUGCCCUGUUGUAUAUGAGGGGAAGUGAAAAACGGGGACUAGCAUUUACUUCCUUGUACCAGGUGUGUGCCACUCUACCAGGUGCUUUGCAUGCACACAUCUAAUUCUCAUAACCCAAUUAGGUAGAAAAAGAAGAAAAGUGAGGAGGCUCCAUUUUGCAGAUGAGGAAACUAAAGCUUAAAUUGGUCAAUUAAGUUCCCUGGGGUCACACAACCAGUAAGUGGCAGAGCUAGGCUAGAGACCUUGGUGUGUGUGGACUCCAGAUACUCUAGAGUCCACGCGCUUCACCACAGCCCACAAUGACUCCCAGAAACUAUUGAUAGACUUUGGUGCCAUACACAGCUGAACAUGGGUCUUUCACCUCCCUGAGGGUUUUCUGGAAGGAACACAAAGGUAAGCAUGUGGGUCAAUCACUUGGGCUUCUGCACUUGAAGCACCUUGAGAAAAGCAAUCUACAGCUCUCAACAUUUAAUUCAUCAAUUCAUGCAUUCCUGCUGUAAAUAAAAAGUGUAUUAAAUGGUUCAAUAGGCAUUUUGAGGCAUACAAAAAUAUGUAAGGGAGAUUAUUGUAUUCUAGGAUUUUUUGUGUUAGUAGGGAAACUAAGAUGCAUUCCCACAUAACUAUACUACAUGUAGUGAGACUAAAUAUUGUGGGAGUCCUGAGGCGGGAAGACGUAAGUCUUGCAGGAUGUGUAUGGUUUGAUACAUAGAGUGGAGGUGGAUAUGUGUGGGAGUGAGGUGGGGGUGGGUGACAUUCAGGUAAAGAGGAAGGGAAAGUUAGGGAGUAGAGACAGAAGAGCAAGGUGCCCACAAGAUAGCAAACCAGUCAAUUUGGCCAAAGUCCUAGUUUCGUAGGAUGGCAGUGGAAGGCAAACCUUCUAUUUGUCUCAAGCCUUGCUAAUUUUAACCUCGUUGUUACACUGUAAGUAUUAACAACCUUCCGAGUAAGUUUAGACAUCUGUAAAUAUUUUCCUUUGUUUCCUGGGUAGCUGUGACAAUUUGAGUUAAAAUUUAUGAGCAUUUUUGGCUCAGAAUUUGGCA